GCCGGGCGCGGUGGCACACGCCUGUAGUCCCAGCUGCUCGGGAGGCUGAGACAGGAGGAUCGCUUGAGUCCAGGAGUUCUGGGCUGUAGUGCGCUAUGCCGAUCGGGUGUCCGCACUAAGUUCGGCAUCAAUAUGGUGACCUCCCGGGAGCGGGGGCCCACCAGGUUGCCUAAGGAGGGGUGAACCGGCCCAGGUCGGAGAAAAAUGUAGCUCUUAAGUAUCAUUAACUUGGAAACAUGGAAUUUCCAACUUUCCAUUAAACAUUGCUAGCUUGCUUUUU
rfam:Mesocricetus auratus contig002031, whole genome shotgun sequence.